UGUCUAUUGGUUUAAAGAAUAUAUUGUUUUUAAUAAUGUUGCUAUCAAAUAAAAAUAGCAUGAGCAUGCUUAGUAAAUCAUUCUGUAUAUAACAAUGUAACAAUUAUACAUUAUGUGUGUAAAUUAAUUUAGUAGAAUGGACAUACUUUGCAUUUGGGUGUAGCCACUAUUGUAGUUGGGAAGGUAGGAUACAGACAGGAAUUUAAUGUAUACCUGUAAGCAACAAUAAACCAAUGCUAUAGAAAAACGAUUCUGAGUGGAGUUCAGUUGAUAAUGUUGCUUUGUCAACAAUUCAAUAUAUAGUAUAUGUCAUAUUAUGAUAAAAUGAUAAAAUAAUGUGUGUUUCCAUGACAACAAUGAUUGUUUAAAAAAGAUAAAAAUAAUAAAACUUAAAAAUAACAAAAAUUAAAUAAAAGUGGUUGCCAAUGGCAGCCUUAUUUUUAAUCUAUCAAUCAUAUUUAACUAUAAGACCAAGGUUUUCCUCAUUAUCUUGAAUAUUAAUGAUAGUUUCAAAAGAUGACCUCUUUAAAGUACCACCCAGAGAACAUUUCCUUUCAGCAAAGAUGCUAUACUUGAUAAUCAAAGUAUGCAUUCUGUUAAAAGAAGUGUACAUCUAAAAUAAUAAUAAAAAAAUAAUAUAUUUCAUUGUAAAACGAAUCCAUUCUUUAUUUCACUCAGAAUUUAAAAUAAAAAGAUGAUGAUAUUUUUUAUUCUGAUAAUAUUAAUGUAAAAAUAAAAAUUUGACCUGGUUUUAUGAUAAAAAUGCAUUUGUUAUAUUAAUUAUUCAACUAUAUUAAAUGGCUGAAUACUGUUUCAAUAACUCACAUAUAGCCUAAGCGCUCAUUUUAUGUAUUUAUUUGUAUUACCUACUUACAGAGUUAGAUUGGCAUUAGCCAGUGAAGCCUUUUCUAUAUAUGGUCCUUUUAGAUUCUGAGUCCUAAUCAAGGAAUGUAUUGACUUUACAAUAUUUUUUUUUCUUUGGUAUAACUACAAAAAUAUGGCUCCAAUUUUCAAGUGUAACACAUUUUCUGAAAGUAAAUUUUCCUGGGAUUGUACUUUAGAAAGUGUAUGCUUUUUUUAUUUUUCUAGUGAUUUCCUUAAUAAUAGGGAAAAAUAUGAAAAUAAUGUUUUUUAUAGCAUAUCUUUAUUUACCUGUUCUAGUUAUUUAUAAAAUACAAAUUCCAUACUACUUAUGUGUUGUACAACACUUACUAUUCAAAAUUAAAUUAUUUAUAGUAGGAUAU